rnacentral:rRNA from 1 species
AGAACGAACGCUGGCGGCAUGCCUAAUACAUGCAAGUCGAACGAACACUUCGGUGUUAGUGGCGCACGGGUGCGUAACGCGUGGGAAUCUGCCCUUGGGUUCGGAAUAACAGUUGGAAACGACUGCUAAUACCGGAUGAUAUCGAAAGAUCAAAGAUUUAUCGCCCAGGGAUGAGCCCGCGUAGGAUUAGCUAGUUGGUGAGGUAAGGCUCACCGAAGGCGACGAUCCUUAGCUGGUCUGAGAGGAUGAUCACGCCACACGUGGGACUGAGACCGACGGCCCAGACCUCCGUAACGGGAGCAGCGAGGUAGGGAAUAGUUGGACAAGUGGGAC